GCGCUCACUUCAGCAGCAUAUAUACUAAAAUUAGAAUGACACAGAGGUUAGCAUGAUCCCUGCAUGAGGAUGAUAUGCAAAUUCGUGAAGCGGUAUAUAUUUUU